rnacentral:tRNA from 1 species
GGAGAGGUGGCCGAGCGGUUUAAGGCACCAGUCUUGAAAACUGGCAGGGGCUUACGCUCCUCGUGAGUUCGAAUCUCACCCUCUCCGCCA